rnacentral:lncRNA from 1 species
GAGAAACUAGCCCGUUUUGCAUUAAUUAGCUUUUAUCCUAUAAUAGGUCUAUAUCUGUUGUAUAUAUUAAUGUUUGCCUCUCUCUUAGUCAAAUCAACUUGUACUCAUGUCCAUGGUUAAGAACUUGUCAAUCAUGCAUUGUCAUAUAUAAAAUAGCCUUGGUUAUGUCAACCCCUGUAGUGUUAUGAUUACUACAGGAAACAUUUUUUCAUGAUGCCUGCUUAAUGCCACCAAUUUCUAUUUUGGCCUAAUCUCACACUUUAAACAUGCUAUUAUUCCUAUGACAGAAGAUCCUCUAGUUUUCUUUUCUCCUCGGUGGAAUUCAAGGAUCUUCAAAUAUAGCCAGACAAAUUAGUAACUUGCAUCUUGCUUUCCUGAUUGUGAUAUGUGCAUAUAAGGAUUUCUUUGAAUGUAGAUAUAUCCACCUCUAAAAUUGUAUUUAUCUUGAUUCUUUUGCCAGUAACUGGGAGAGUGACAACAAAGGUGGACGUGUUCAGUUUCGGUGUGAUUUUGAUGGAACUCAUCACAGGAAGAAAGGCGCUUGAUGAAAGCCAG